UUCCGUAUGCCAACCAUGAAGGUUAUGU
rnacentral:sRNA from 1 species